rnacentral:rRNA from 1 species
GAUGAACGCUGGCGGCGUGCCUAAUACAUGCAAGUCGAGCGAACAGACGAGGAGCUUGCUCCUCUGACGUUAGCGGCGGACGGGUGAGUAACACGUGGAUAACCUACCUAUAAGACUGGGAUAACUUCGGGAAACCGGAGCUACUACCGGAUAAUAUAUUGAACCGCAUGGUUCAAUAGUGAAAGACGGCUUUGCUGUCACUUAUAGAUGGAUCCGCGCCGCAUUAGCUAGUUGGUAAGGUAACGGCUUACCAAGGCAACGAUGCGUAGCCGACCUGAGAGGGUGAUCGGCCACACUGGAACUGAGACACGGUCCAGACUCCUACGGGAGGCAGCAGUAGGGAAUCUUCCGCAAUGGGCGAAAGCCUGACGGAGCAACGCCGCGUGAGUGAUGAAGGUCUUCGGAUCGUAAAACUCUGUUAUUAGGGAAGAACAAAUGUGUAAGUAACUAUGCACGUCUUGACGGUACCUAAUCAGAAAGCCACGGCUAACUACGUG